AAAGGCAAAGAGGAGCUCCUUUCAAUCCAAUAAGGAGGGCUGAGGAGUGGCAAGAGCUGUCAUCUCAUGCAUUUGGCUACCCUUAAUGUUUGUGAUCAGAAAAAGAUCUUGCAUUGGGAUUAUUUUGAAAUGUUAAGUUUGGCCAUGUGCAUGGUGUGAGAGCAACUCCACCCGCCUUCUUAGCCCUACCAUUGGAUUGAAGGGAGCUCCAAAUUUCAGCUCU
rfam:Glycine soja cultivar W05 scaffold1930_11, whole genome shotgun sequence.